rnacentral:rRNA from 1 species
AUUGAACGCUGGCGGCAGGCUUAACACAUGCAAGUCGAGCGGGGGAGGUUGCUUCGGUAACUGACCUAGCGGCGGACGGGUGAGUAAUGCUUAGGAAUCUGCCUAUUAGUGGGGGACAACAUUCCGAGAGGAAUGCUAAUACCGCAUACGCCCUACGGGGGAAAGCAGGGGAUCUUCGGACCUUGCGCUAAUAGAUGAGCCUAAGUCGGAUUAGCUAGGUGGUGGGGUCAAGGCCUACCAAGGCGACGAUCUGUAGCGGGUCUGGGAGGAUGAUCCGCCACACUGGGACUGAGACACGGCCCAGACUCCUACGGGAGGCAGCAGUGGGGAAUAUUGGACAAUGGGCGGAAGCCUGAUCCAGCCAUGCCGCGUGUGUGAAGAAGGCCUUUUGGUUGUAAAGCACUUUAAGCGAGGAGGAGGCUCUUAAGGUUAAUACCCUUGAUGAGUGGACGUUACUCGCAGAAUAAGCACCGGCUAACUCUGUGCCAGCCGCCGCCGUAAUAC